UACAGAGGUCUCAAGCGUUGUUCGGAUUCAUUGGGCGUAAAGGGUGCGUAGGCGGCGCGGUAAGUCGGGUGUGAAAUUUCGGAGCUUAACUCCGAAACUGCAUUCGAUACUGCUGUGCUUGAGGACUGGAGAGGAGACUGGAAUCUACGGUGUAGCGGUGAAAUGCGUAGAUAUCGUAAGGAAGACCAGUGGCGAAGGCGGGUCUCUGGACAGUUCCUGACGCUGAGGCACGAAGGCCAGGGGAGCAAACGGG
rnacentral:rRNA from 1 species